ensembl:lncRNA
CGGGAAGUGGCUCGGUGGAAAAGGUCAGUUUACUGCCCCACCAGAAAAAAAGAAGCACAAAUUGCGUCACUGGGCAUGUACCACAGCCUAUACGGGGACAGACUAUUUUUAGCGAGGAUGGAACUGUCUGCUCUGGACGCGGUCGUGACGUAGGAGACGCGAGAAAGCCAUGCAAAAUCGUGACCAUGUGACGGUGGUGAAUGGAGACAGUGGCGAUUGAAAUCAAAGAUGAAGUCCAUCCAGAAGAAAGAUCAUUUACGUCUUGAGGAUGAGUGCCCGUGUAGAUGCCGUGGCUGCCAAGAUCGAGACCGCUGUCACCAUUAACCAGAUCUCUGUGUCAAUGGACAAGUUCGAGAACCAGUUUAAAACUCUUGACGUGCAGACAGCUCAGAGAAAGGACACGAUGGAAGACACCAGCAGUCUGACGAUGUCUCAGAAUGAAGGGGAAACGCUGCUGCUUGAGAUGGUUGAUGAAACAAAGUACGGCUCCAAACAUUCGGAAAACUGACAAUAACGACAAGAGGUAUAACAUUUAAGAGAGACAAAUGAACCUUUAAAAAGAGACGCUGUUGUGUUUUUUAAGGUUCCCAGCGAUCAUUUUUCUGGUUCAAAAGUUUUUUCAACGUUUAUUUGUAGACCUUGAAAAACAUUGGGCCCAAUUUUAAUGUAAUUUUUAAUAUGGAAAUGUUUCAUCCUCUACAAAUAGACGUUGAAAUUUCAACGUUGGUCAUAGGCAUCUUUUCAACGGAUAAUUGCUUGCUGGAAACUUUUAGAUACUUAAUCACAGUAGUCAUAUAAUAUAAUAUAUUACAUAUCAGAAAUAUAACAUAAUGCUUUUCUUAGAUAAAAUCCCUAUACACAAAAAUAUUUUUCAGGGAAAAUAGGCUAUGGAAUUAAAAGUGUAGAAAAC